GACGAAGCUGGCGGCGUGCCUAUACAUGCAAGUCGAGCGGACAGAUGGGAGCUUGCUCCCUGAUGUUAGCGGCGGACGGGUGAGUAACACGUGGGUAACCUGCCUGUAAGACUGGGAUAACUCCGGGAAACCGGGGCUAAUACCGGAUGGUUGUUUGAACCGCAUGGUUCAAACAUAAAAGGUGGCUUCGGCUACCAUUACAGAUGGACCCGCGGCGCAUUAGCUAGUUGGUGAGGUAACGGCUCACCAAGGCAACGAUGCGUAGCCGACCUGAGAGGGUGAUCGGCCACACUGGGACUGGACACGGCCCAGACUCCUACGGGAGGCAGCAGUAGGGAAUCUUCCGCAAUGGACGAAAGUCUGACGGAGCAACGCCGCGUGAGUGAUGAAGGUUUUCGGAUCGUAAAGCUCUGUUGUUAGGGAAGAACAAGUACCGUUCGAAUAGGGCGGUACCUUGACGGUACCUAACCAGAAAGCCACGGCUAACUACGUGCCAGCAGCCGCGGUAAUACGUAGGUGGCAAGCGUUGUCCGGAAUUAUUGGGCGUAAAGGGCUCGCAGGCGGUUUCUUAAGUCUGAUGUGAAAGCCCCCGGCUCAACCGGGGAGGGUCAUUGGAAACUGGGGAACUUGAGUGCAGAAGAGGAGAGUGGAAUUCCACGUGUAGCGGUGAAAUGCGUAGAGAUGUGGAGGAACACCAGUGGCGAAGGCGACUCUCUGGUCUGUAACUGACGCUGAGAGCGAAAGCGUGGGGAGCGAACAGGAUUAGAUACCCUGGUAGUCCACGCCGUAACGAUGAGUGCUAGUGUUAGGGGGUUUCGCCCCUUAGUGCUGCAGCUAACGCAUUAAGCACUCCGCCGGGGAGUACGGUCGCAAGACUGAAACUCAAAGGAAUUGACGGGGGCCCGCACAAGCGGUGGAGCAUGUGGUUUAGUUCGAAGCAACGCGAAGAACCUUACCAGGUCUUGACAUCCUCUGACAAUCCUAGAGAUAGGACGUCCCCUUCGGGGGCAGAGUGACAGGUGGUGCAUGGUUGUCGUCAGCUCGUGUCGUGAGAUGUUGGGUUAAGUCCCGCAACGAGCGCAACCCUUGAUCUUAGUUGCCAGCAUUCAGUUGGGCACUCUAAGGUGACUGCCGGUGACAAACCGGAGGAAGGUGGGGAUGACGUCAAAUCAUCAUGCCCCUUAUGACCUGGGCUACACACGUGCUACAAUGGACAGAACAAAGGGCAGCGAAACCGCGAGGUUAAGCCAAUCCCACAAAUCUGUUCUCAGUUCGGAUCGCAGUCUGCAACUCGACUGCGUGAAGCUGGAAUCGC
rnacentral:rRNA from 2 species